GAUGAACGCUGGCGGCGUGCCUAAUACAUGCAAGUCGAGCGAACAGACGAGGAGCUUGCUCCUCUGACGUUAGCGGCGGACGGGUGAGUAACACGUGGAUAACCUACCUAUAAGACUGGGAUAACUUCGGGAAACCGGAGCUAAUACCGGAUAAUAUAUUGAACCGCAUGGUUCAAUAGUGAAAGACGGUUUUGCUGUCACUUAUAGAUGGAUCCGCGCCGCAUUAGCUAGUUGGUAAGGUAACGGCUUACCAAGGCAACGAUGCGUAGCCGACCUGAGAGGGUGAUCGGCCACACUGGAACUGAGACACGGUCCAGACUCCUACGGGAGGCAGCAGUAGGGAAUCUUCCGCAAUGGGCGAAAGCCUGACGGAGCAACGCCGCGUGAGUGAUGUAGGUCUUCGAAUCGUAAAACUCUGUUAUUAGGGAAGAACAAAUGUGUAAGUAACUAUGCACGUCUUGACGGUACCUAAUCAGAAAGCCACGGCUAACUACGUG
rnacentral:rRNA from 1 species